CUACUUUCUCUAUUUUUUUCUCAACUUUAGCAACUACAUGGAGGGGAUAGCGCUAGUGGCGAGGAAAGUGGAGGGGAUAGCGCUAUGGCGAGGAAAGUGGAGGGGAUAGCGCUAGUGGCGAGGAAAGUGGAGGGGAUAGCGCUGGUAACGAGGAAAGUGGAGGGAGAAAGGGCUGCCAGUUCGCCACCUCUACUGUAGAAUAACUUGACGAGUAGUCAGUCUCGAGGAGUUUUUUUGCCGUUCUUUUUUUUAGAGAAAAGUCAGCCAAUCGGACUCGAUUUGUUUUCAAAUUAUGCUACCCAGACGUAACUUUCGACAGAUGUUUUACAGAUGGUACCAGGCUGCUCGAAAGUCUCCAGAGCACGACUCGACGAUCGUUGGAACAAGCGAGGAUCCAACAGUAUGCUUCGAGCACCGAACCGAAACUUCUCGCGAUUCGAGACGACGCGAUUAAAAUCGUCUCGCGAACCUUUCAACUUUCGCUUCCCUGUAAUCUCGCACGGCCACGCCACGUCUCGCCUGACACUGCUGAACGACACGGUUGGUUCGCGACACGGUUCGAGAGGCUUUCGACGAGCCAGAGUCUCCCACGGAGACUUUCGCCAACUUGCUGCCGCGAACAAUAUUCGAAACGACUGGAAAGUUUCCACGCCAGGUGGGACUCCUUGUUCCACGCCAACUGCUAACCACGCUCCCGUUAAUCAGCCCGUCGUUUGCAUCGAUCCUUCUGCGGACGUCCUUCGGCGGAAAAUUCCCCCGGAGCAACUUGCCACUUCGGAUUCCGGGGAACACGUGUGGCAAGCACGCGGUUUAUAAUAGAAGGUGGCUUCUCCCUCAGCGUUCCGUGCGGCGUCACGCGGAACAGAACGGCCGAAUUAAACUCUCUUCUGCCAGAGUUUCCAACGUAUCGCGUUUUCUAAUUUCGAACGGAAUCGUCACGAGAAGCGCCGAUUGUCGCUGAUUAAUACUAGGUUAAGUCCGGGUGAAAUAGAAUUAUUGAUUAAUUUUGAGCUCUGUUUAAAUGUUGUCAAAUUUUAGGUGUUGUCAAAUAUCAAUGUUCUGCUCAUCUUUUGAAUUAUUUAAUAAUUUAAACAAAUUGUGUAGUAAUUCUUUUAAAAAAAAGUGGGCCAUCACUACCCCGACUUUUUUGUUCUCGUUCCAACGACAACAACACUUCCAUCGAUUCAAAUUAAUAGGAUUAAUUUGCCAUUUGCAUCACCGGACGAAAUAUCCCGCGAGUAAAUGAUAAAACGCAGAAUAAUACGAGGGAUUGAGAAUCUUUUGCAUUUGUUAAUUAGCGUGAGUGACUUCUCAUUAAAAACUACUCGUAUCUUGCCUUUAAUGUUAACCUUUAAUAUUGAAACUAUCA